ensembl:snRNA U6 U6 spliceosomal RNA
GUGCUUGCUUCACAGCAUGCAUACUAAACCGGGAAGGAUACAGAGAAGAUUAGCAUGGCUCCUGAGAAGGGAUGACACGCAAAUUCAUGAAGUGUUUCAUAUUAAA